AUUAGUACCUAUUUCUAUUAUUUAAAAAAAACUUAAUUUUCCAUUCCAAAAAAGGUGGGAUGUUGUGUAAAAUGUAAACAAAAACAGAAUGGUAUGUUUUCCAGAACUU